CAACUGUACUAUAUGCCUAUAUCCCCAUAGAGUUGUGUGCCAACUGAUCGUAUAGACAGUUGGUUAAUAGUGAAACUACUGCUUCCAAACUCCAAUCUAACACAGUUCCCUUGUGUUAUUACCACAUUGCCCAAUGUGAUGCAUUUAGCAGCGAUGACUAAAUCUAGACCAUCACCAAAACUAGAGUCCCCAUGAAUAGGGACGCCUGGACUAGGUUUCACCUCAGUAAAAAGUGUAUUGCUGUUUUGUGGUGGGGCACUAGUAAUCUCUUGAAAGUACUUUUAAUUGAAGGGAACAAAGCACUGAUAAAGAAAAAUAUUUAACUGUGGAAACCACACAGAUUAAGCAGCAGAAGGCUGUUCUCACCUAAGGCCUCCUCCCCACACACAUCCUAACUUCUCAAACACAAGCAACUUUUUUCUCUUGAUCCACAAAAUUCCCACCACCUUAACUCAGUGUGAUUUCCUUGGUCUUCUACAUAGUCUACCAUGUAAGCUUCCACAUUUAGCCUUUCCAUGUGUCCAGUUGUUUGCACUCAUCCCUUACCAUUCAUCCAUGUUACUAAGUGCAACUCUUUGUUUUUAUUACUAUGAAUAAACUGCAGUUUAUUGAUUGCUUAAACUAUUAGCAUACAUAUAUCAGUUGGAGUGCCUAGGUCCACUCCACUUCUUACAAGAAAUAAAAGCCCAAAAUAUUAAUGAUUU
rnacentral:lncRNA from 1 species